GCAUAUUCUGUAUCUUGUUUUGAGUGGUGGUUAUAGGAGUAUAUAUACAUUUAUAAAAAUUAAUAAACUGAAAACUUAUAACCUGUGCACUUUACUAUAUGUUAAUGGUCUCUAAAUAGAAACAGGCAAAUGCAUAAAAUGGAGCAUUUGAUCACAGAAAUACUGAAAGUUGCUGCUGUUCUCUUUAUUUCAAGAUUCAGCUGCUUUCAGGGGCUAUUUGUUAUGCGUUUGUUAGGGGUUCCGUGAUAAACUUCCUUUACAUGGCAAAACUCACUACAAAGUAGAGGAUGGCUCCCUUCAUAUUUUUACACAACUUUUUGUUGUUGAUAUUAAGUGAUAUACUUCCCAAACUCAAGAUUAUUCAGUCUUAAAUGUGACCACAUGUGGAAUUCAUUCCCUCCACAAAUCUUUGUAGUGCUUCUCUGUGGAGCACAGUGCCCUCAGGGUCUUGUGAGUUUCUGCUUCACUGAUUGUCUCUCCCACCAGAAAGUCCACCUGAGGGCUGUGCCUGUGCCUGAUUUAUUGCUGUAUCUCCAGCACCUAGCAGUCUGGCAUAGAGGGCAAACCAUUCAGCCAAUCUUUGUCAAACAAAGUGCUCAUUACAUGAAUGGAAAACUCUAUCUUUGAAUAACUAAUUCAUUAAGUCAGAAAAUGAUCUCUGCUUUCUAGGAGCUCAAAAAAAGAUCUAGGGGACUGGGGUUGUAGCUCAGUGGUACAGUUCUUGCCUGGCAUGUGUGAGGC
rnacentral:lncRNA from 1 species